rnacentral:rRNA from 1 species
AAUACGUUCUCGGGUCUUGUACACACCGCCCGUCAAACCACGAAAGUCGGGAGCGCCCGAAGGCAUGUUUUUAAUAUGACUACGGCGAGUUCGAUGAUCAGGGUU